AACGACAGUAUCUUGUUUGCGUGUAUUUAGGAGCAGGGAACUUGCUAUUUUUUUGUUUCUGGACUUCCUGUCAUAAGUGUUUUGAAAGUGCAUCAUGGCGAGAGGGCAGCAAAAAAUUCAGUCACAACAGAAAGCUCAAGAGAAGAAGAAAAAGAUGAUGAAAGGAAAAGCUGCAGAUCAAAAAGUAGCUGCUGCAAAAAAGCUUAUAUAUCAAUGUACAGUUUGUAAGACACAAAUGCCAGAUCCAAAGACAUACAAGCAACAUUUUGAAAGUAAGCAUCCCAAGUCACCCAUGCCAGAUGAAAUAAAAGACAUGUAAAUACAUAUGAUUUUUUUCUGUUUUAACGAGACUCCAUGGACUUCACAAAGCUGACACUAUUAGAUUUCCUUAAUGUAUGGGUCAAGGACACCUCCCCCCUGGGGUAUCUGGGAGGACUAUGGGGCUAAUCUUGGGAUAGCAAUAUUCAGAAAAGCACAAAGCGAUCAGAUAUUUGCCCAUGUAAUUUCUUACUAGACCUUGGGACAAUAGGGGUAUAGAGUAUAGGGUAGUGUGGGGAUAACAAGGACAUAAGAUAUUUUUGUGUUAUCCCAGUGGGUUGGCUUAUUCUUUUUACAAAUCUUAAUGAUUUUUCAUGUCCCCAGAUUCUCAGAUGUGGUGAGGGCCAGGGUUUAUAUUGACUAGCACAUAACGAUUAUACUUAAUUAUGGUUCGCCAGGGAACAUUUAGUAUUCUUUCAAACUAAAACCAAUGAUACCAUGUUUGCUCUAUUGGUAGUGCAUGUACUUACAUAACUAAAUAGGUGUUUCUAUGGUCAAAAUACAAUAUAUACAUUUUUUGGUUAUAUGUGUUUCUAAUAGAGCAAAUAUGAUAUAAUAAAGAUCAAAAAAUUAGGUCAACACUUCCAUAAUCAUGCAUGGUGAUAUGUUAUUAAGAUCUCGUAGAAAUUAUGUGAAGCAAAAUUGUGUUCAAUUCAUAUUUCUUCUGUCAGUUCCUUUUGCAGAACAUCAUGGAUACAAAUUAGUAACCAUGGAAACAAAUGAAGUUUCCAAACCUGCAAUUCUGUUCAUGAACACUUCAUGAAUGAGGUACCGCAGGACAUUUCAUUAUCAAUUAUAUCUUUAAUUUCUGGUUUCAUAACUGGCAAUUCAGUACAAAGUUAAUAACGUAUAUAUAAUUUCCACAUAUAUCAGAUCAUGGGAGUGUAACAGCGCCAGCUUGAAGCCAUCUUUGUGCAUUUUAGGCUUAUUCGGUAAUAAAUAUUUUGAGAAUUACUGAAAGUGUUUUACAUGAAAUAUUAAAACCUGUUUGAAACAAGGGACAAAGAAAAUUGUAUGGUUUUAGAGUUUAAUUUACAGAAGUUUUGAGACCUAAUAUGUGAAACAAGUACAACAAUGAUACAAAAAAAACUAGGUAUAAAAUGGUAUGAUGUUUAUCAAUUUUAUGCUCAAUACUGUUUUUAUUGUACUUGGAAUUUAUUUACAGUGUGUAGAGUCAUCAUAUAAUGUGAACUUAUCUAAACUAAACACCAAAGAAACUGAAAGAAAUUUCUCUGCUGCGUGUUCUUUUGAUUUCAAUUGGGUUUUCUGUCAGAAGCCUUACUUCUAAAUAGAAAAAUAAUCUUUCAAACACAAUACACAUACUUGUAUAGCUAUGGAAUUCAGUAUUAUUAAUAGAGAUUUUUUUACUUGGAUAGUUAAAAAUCAUGCGAAAUGUGAUUUGCAUGUUACUACUUUGUCACGAUGAAUGUUAAGUUCGUAAGUUGACGUAUGGUAUUAAAAUGCAGACCCUGGAUGACAGGAAAAUGGGGCAUUUUCUUUGUAGUAAUAUAACAUGCAUAAAUUAUAACUAAUUGGUAUUAUUCAACUUCAGAGUACAUCUGUCUAUAUUUGUACUGCAACUGUAGCCUUUUGUGGAAAUUUAAGUAGUUAAGGUAGAAGCCGACUCAUAAAUUAAAAAAACUCAGAAUUUAUUCAUUUUUGCAACAAACUGUACUCAAAGGCAAUAUAGGGAUAUUGACUUAAAAUAAGUUGGGGGUCACCAGCCUUAUUUUCGAGAUAUUGAUAGUUUUAUUUUAGUGGGAAGUCGCCAUUUUGGCACUAACAUAAUGCUUUUACCAUAGGUUCCUAUGGCAGAGAUAUAAUGCAAUAUCUCAAAAUCUAGCCUGGUGACAUAGGCUGAAAAAAUCAUAUAUUGUUAAUG
rnacentral:lncRNA from 1 species